rnacentral:lncRNA from 1 species
GAAAACCAAGUUAAAUAUUGGUUGCAGGACCUGAUUUUUUACUCUUUCUUCCUACCCUGGUAAAACUAGAGUUACAGUGGCCAAGAGGGCUAUUGUGGCUGAGUAAAUAACCUGGUUCAUGUAGUUUUGAUUACUGGGUUAUAGGAAUGGCAUACUGGCUCCUGCCCUGCAUCAGGUCUUUGACAGUAGACACAGUUAAUCAAAAACACGAGAAGCAGAGCAAGACAGAGUGUUCCUUCCUCUGCCAUUAACUUCCCAUUUCUGUCAUUCAGCACUCUGGGGACUUCCCACAUUGGAAGCUGUGCUCAGUUUAGAAGCCGCUGGUGAAAGGAAGCCAGAUCAGUGCUGGGAUCUAAGCAGCCCCCCACCUGGGCUUCAUUACACUUAAGUGCUUGCCUAACCUGCACAGCCAGGGGUGGAAACCACCCUGCCAGUUUGUAAGAUGACCUGGGGAAUCUAGAAAGGUCUGCUGUCUCAAAUCCAUCACCUGAUGUCAAAGUGGGAUUACAUCCCCUUGCUUACAGCACACCCACACCAGCUGUAGAUCUGCAGAGAAGCUGUGAAUGGGAGCUGAAAUUUGGAAGUGCAACCCCUGCACCCAGAAGGUACGUGGAUCUUCCUGACAGGCAGUGCAAGUUAACUUGGCAGCACUGUGACAGUCUGGCUUCUCUGGGUAUCCUGGUGGGGAGAUAUCUGCAUCACGGCUCUCUGACCAUCCACGCAACAAAGCUCCCCUCCACAGGAAACCAGAACGUACAAGAUGCAUGUUGCACAGCCAGCUGACACACACACAUCUGCAGGCAGGACAUGGUUGGGAUGCACAGCAUAAGUAAGAGGUGAGGCAAUCUUCCAUGUCCCUCAGCUUUGACACACAAAGUCAGGCUUGGACCACCAAGCACCGCCAAAGUAGGGAAGUCAGAUAAUGAAAACUUUGUGAAGGUAAACAGGACAAUUAAUUGAGGACAUAUCCUUAGAACUCUCUCUCAAAAUUCACACAAGAAGAAAAUGCCUGUGAUAAAUUUUUUGCCUUACACACUGGGUACCAUCCAUAUCACCUAGUACCAAUAUCCUCUCAAAGACUUGUGAAAACAUGGUAGAAUUGUUCUUAUCCACUGAGAGCAGGACACAAGGCCUGUCCCAACUGAUAUACAGCAUCAUUCCUGAGGUUGUCCUUACUUGAUUGAAGACUUGAAGCUCUGCAGUCUUAGCUAUAUGGUAACUUGCUUCCAGCACCACAUUUUCCCAUUGUAUUCUCCUUUUGUUGUAGAGAGGAGCAGAGGGGAUCCAGAGGAUCUCAUGCUGGGACUGUCUAGACUGGGUGCUCUCAGAUCAAUAUUCAGGGCAGCCCUUGAUAGCUCUGGGCUGCCCAUGUUCCUGUGAAGACAACAUACAUAUAUAAACCAGCUCAUACACACAGCUCAGUUUCCCUAGAGGGGAAUAAUCCUCCCUGCUUUUUUUUUUUUUUCCCCCCCUGGAAUGUCUUGAUAACGAGCUCUCCUAGCUUCCCAGCCCACUUCCCACUGCACAGGGCCCUAGCCCCACCCUUUCCCCCUUCUCCAAUCCUCUCACCUCCAUCCUCUCCAGUAAAACUUAGAUCACAAAAUCACAGAAUUUCUAGGUUGGAAGAGACCUCAAGAUCAUCGAGUCCAACCUCUGACCUAACGCUAACAGUCCCCAAUAAACCAUAUCCCUAAGCUCUACA